GGCAGAGAGAGAGAGGGUGACACAGAAUCCAGAGAGCAGGCUCCAGGCUCCGAGCUGUCAGCACAGAGUCCGAUGCGGGGCUGGAACACACAAGCCGUGAGGUCAUGACCUGAGCCGAAGUCGGACGCUCAACCGACUGAGCCACCCAGGCGCCCCUUCUUGCGCUUCUGUUUAGUGAGCACUUGCUAUGUACCGCAUGAAUGCACAGAACAUAUUUCACAAUAAAUAUCACCUCUUGUUUUUGUCAUUAGGGUUCACACUGCACCCCCCCCAGCCCCCCCACACACAUGGGCCCACAUGGCCCUGUGUGAUCUAUCCUGAGCCACCUGCCUGACCACCUCCCACCCCCUUCCUCUCCCUCACAGGCUCCAGCAGCACUAGUUUCCUUGCUGCAAGCUCGCUCCUGCUUCAGAGACUUGGCAUCUAGCAUUCCUUCUGUCCGGAUUGCUUACCCACUUCCCUCAGUUCCCGCCUCAAAUAUUUCUCAAAACCUGUGCUAUGCCCUCUUCAUAAAUGAUCUCAUUUCGUCCUCAGCAAUCCUAUGAGGUAGGUACCAUGUUGGGUUAAGCACCUAUGAAAUUGCCAGUAUUUGACCAUUUGACUUACCGGAAAGCAACUUCCUAUUGUUCAACCUAAUAUUAUGCCUAUUUUACAGAGGAAGGAAUUGGGCCUUAAAUAAUUUGGCCAAGGUCACACUGUUAUGAAGCGGCAGGGACAGGAUUCAGUCUUAGACCUCUUUUAUCCUAAGGUCCACACCCUUAAUGUCUAACCAUUUGCCCCCAGACCUUCCCUGUUUCUUUCUUGGAUUUUUGUCCUUCCAUUUGGUCAAGGAGCAUGACAUACCCUCUACGAAGCUGGGGUACCAAGAAACUGAAACACUAAUGUUCCCACUUGAAGAGCCUCGAGCCUUCCAGUCAACACAGAGGCUGCCUACCUGGAUCUUUCCUGUCUCUGCUAUCUGGCUCCAAGCCGCUGAUGACUGACAGCUGUGGGAAGAAUGGAUGAACUGGGGACAGAACCCGAACAAGGAAAACCAUUUCAGAGGCCAUCGCGUUCGCCCCGGUGAGAAAUGCUGUUCGCUUGGCCUGGCCUGUGCCGGUGGCAGUGGAGGGAGACAGAAAAGAACCAAUUCAAUAGGUAUUGUGGAUGUAUCUGUACCAGCUGGCAACCUGCCUCUGGGGGUGAGCUGAGCAGGUGCUCCAGGUGGUCUAUCCUACGGCCUCGGCCAUACAGCUAGUGGGCCAAAUGACUCUAAAAUCCUUCCCAACUCGAUGAUUCUAUUGAUCUAGAACACCAACGACAUGGCUAUGGCUAUGGGUAGAAAUACGCACUGUUUGAUAGUUGUGACCCAUGCCCAUGCACGUGGUCAUUUUUGAGCCUCAUAGCAAUCCUGGGAGGUACAUAUUAUUUUUUCCACUUUAAAAAUUAGAAAAUUCAGGCCCAGAGAGUUUAAAUGAUGGAUCCAAACACUGACCAAAUCCAAUGGCUCUUGGGUUCAAAUGCAAGUCUUUUGACUCCAGAACCCACCUGUUUCUUCUAUCAUGAGAGUAGAUAAAUCUUCUGAGCAGAAGUGCCAAGGAGACCAUAAAGUUGAGACUAAUAAAAUCAAUGCUAUUAUUUUAAAAUAAGUAUCUGUAUUAUUAAACUGAUACAAGUGUAAUUAUAACAACGCCCUGUACUCGAGUGCUUACUCUGUGUAAGGACUAUUGAAACACCAAGUGUAUAAUCAUAAUCGGUCCUCACAAGAACCCAGGGAGGGAGGUACUAUUAUUAUCUCCGUAUCAUAUAUAGAGAAACUGCAGUAUAGUGGUUAAAUAUAUUGCCCAAGUUCACACAGCUAGUUAGCUGUGGAACUGGAAUUAAAACCCAGGCCACUUAGACACCUGAGUCCUUUGGGCUAAAUGGCCUCCCAAGAAAGAAUAUAUACACAGGUGAUAUUAUAUGCAUAGGAAGCUUCUGAAACUCCCUGUAGGAAGGAAGACCAGAAGCUAGAAUGGGAAGGAAGAUUCUAGCUUUCACUGUCUGCCCUUUUGUAUUUUUUCCACUAUAGUGACUGAGACUGCCAGCAGGCCACCAAUAUCCAUUCUCCCCUUCUUCCUUUAAUUAUAAGAAUCCUGAGUGUUAGCUAGGCCUGUGGGAACCCAUCCUGAGUGUAUACUCCCCAGCCUCCUCUAUAGUAAUAGGUAUGGCCAUGUGACUAAGUUCUAGCCAGCAGAAAGGAUAUAUGUAAAUCCUGGGCCAUGUCCUUACAAGGAAUGGAGAAAGGUUACCCUAGCCUUUUUCCCUCUGGAUCGCUGGGAUGUAGCUAUGAUGACAGGAGCUCAAGCAGCCACCUUGGACCUAGAGACAGAAGCAAUAUACUGAGGAUAAGAGAGCUACCUUACUAAAUUGGGGAACUCUAUUUCUGGAAUUUUACCUGAGGAAAAAAAAAUCAAACUUGUAUCAUAUUUAAACCACUAUAUUUUUAGGUCUAUUUUUAACAAGUUUCUGCCGUAUCUAACACACCUACGCAUACAUUGCCUUUUUCAAGGAAAAAACUAAUUAAAAGGGGUGCCUGGGCCGCUCAGUCGGUUAAGCAUCUGACUUCAGCUCAGCUCAUGAUCCCACAGCUUGUGAGUUCAACCCCCAUGUUGGGCUCUGUGCGGACAGCUCAGAGCCUGGAGCCUGCUUCAGAUUCUGUCUCCCUCUCUCUGCCCCUCCCCCACUUGCGCCUGUGCUCGCUCUCUCUCUCUCAAAUAUAAAUAAACAUUAACAAAAUUUUUUUAAACUAACUUAAAAAAUCAUGACAUAUGGAACAUAGCCACAAUUAUAUAUUUGAGAUAAUUAUUCAGUGAAAUAGUAGUAAGUACUUAAAAACAGCUCUCCAGGGCAGGGAAAAGCCCUGAUUUGUAGCAUUUUCCAAUUUUCCUGGUGUAAAUACUCUUCCAGGGCUGAUUUCAAGCUACCAAUGUGAGGUCACUGAGCACAGAGUUGGGAAGAGAGGGUACACACUUGGCUCCCAAGAGUUAACAGGAACUAACUCUAGCAUACCACCACAAUUAUCCCUAUAACCUUUGGAGGAAAUGCUUUAAAUACUAACUGCGACAAAAUCUGGACAUGAUCAAAUAGGAUUCUAAGCAGCCUCUGGUAUAGACGAAUAGAAGGAUUUUUUAAAGUAUUUUUUUCUAACUGGAAGACAUUGCUCAAGUCAGAAAAAUCUUACAAAACAUGAAAGAUAUUUAAUUUUACUUCUCAAACGAUGGGUUUGGACUCUACAUAAGUUUCAUACUGCAAUAGAAAAGAUGAAAGCUAGAAAUGAUGUUGGGAACACACAGUCCUUUAACAACCAUUAAUCAUACCUACUAGCAUGGGAGGGAAAGAGGGAAAUCAAAUAUGGCCCCUGCAAACAUUGGUGGCUUCAAUAUGCAGUGUCUAGAAAUGAGGCUCCAUUUCCGAGUUGUAAGAUUAUGAAGAUUAAGGAGAGUAUUUCUCUCUGUCCAACGCCACAAAUUAAAAUGAAGUCUUCCUUAUUAGUAUUUUAGCUCAGUUUUGCAGAAAUGAAAUUCUCUCGUCCUAAGGGAGCAAUGGCAAGUUCUACCAAGAACGUACUGUGCAGGAGGAAGAAGAAGGUGGGUACGUUUGGGAAGGGCUGCCACACGGAGCAAUUGCCACAGUUACAGGAUUUUUAAAUCUCGAAGACAGUGAGAUUACAAUAGCAAAUGCUGGAAACGUGUGGGGCUUCAAACGUUUCCCUAGGGAAAUGAUGGAAGCCCUAUUGCCUCAUGGAACCUCACAGAUAAAUUCCAAAGAAUCUGAGCCCAUCCUCAUCAGUCUGUCAAAUUUCCACAGACCCUCUUCCCACAAACCAGUGCUAAAACAAAAAAGAUACCUAGGUGAGAAGAGCUAAGGAAAUGCUGUCUCAGAGUCUGAAUUCUUCUUUUACUUAAAACAAUCCUCUACUCCUAGAACUUGCCUUAUUAGAGCUAGAAUCAAGUGGUUUAAUCCAUGGCUCUGAAAACAAAGUCUGGUCAGGACGGAAUCCAAACAUCUGAGAUCCGCACGAAUAAAUGUCCCCGGGGGUGACUAUUGCAUCUGGAAGGGUAGGAGCCAUUUCUACUCUCUAGGAGUUGCACAGAAAGGAAAGGAGAAGCAUGUUGGAUUCCAGGCUGUCUUGCUCCUGGUGUCUGAUGUCAUUGCAGAGGCCACCAGUGGCCCAGAGUAAGUCCAGCUGGCAGAUGGACUGCAUAGCCUACAGGGCUACCCUGGGCUUAUCUUCUUGGCUGCAAGCCUCUGAGCUGUGGGUCUCUGUCUGAGCGGCCGGAUUCCAUACCCAAGCAGAGGCUGCACACUACCGGUGACAUCCAACCAGUCGGCAAUGAGCUCUGGGCAAUUCUUCCAAGAGACUAGAUGGACACCUGGAGCCAAACUUUAUCAGACUCACUGAAGUUUGACCCUUAUAAACAGUUCAGUUCUCCAGAGUUUUCUGGCUUGCAUGUGGUUGGAAGUGGGACCGUGCCAAGUUCCGAGUCCAGCUUUGAAACGUUUAUCCUGUACCACCUGCUCCAAAACACGAGGUUUGUGUCAUGAUCUCAGUUAUAAUUCACAAAGAAGCUGGAAGAUGUUUGGCCUUUGAAAAGGAACACCCCUCUCUUCAUACCCAUGACAUUAACCAAGAUUACCAAGAUUCUGAAGUCUGAAAAGGGGAUUGCAUCUACUCCUCUGGCUUCAACUAUCACCUAUACCCUGAUUACUCCCAGAUUUUAAUCUCUGGCCCAGAUCUUUAUCUCCUGGGCUCCAGACCUGAAAUUUCAACUGCCUCCUGGGCAUCUCUAUUUGGAAGUCCCACAGGUAAUCUUAUCUUUAUAGGUCCUAAAUCAAAUUUGGCAUUUUAUUUCUCUACACCGAAACCUGCUGCCUCCCUAUGGCCCCUACCUUGGGCAAUUGGGUCUUGUUUCAUCCAGUGAAUCAAGCCAGAACCUGGCAGCCCUCCUCCACAUCUCUCUUUCUCAUGCCUCCAUCCAAUGAAUUGCCAAAUUCUGUUGUUUCUUGGUAUUUCUUCCUUCCUUCCUUCCUUCCUUCCUUCCUUCCUUCCUUCCUUCCUUUCUUUCUUUCUUUCUU